CGGCGUGACUCCAAUUGAACCGCAGCUUCACCCCUUGUGGUGCUCCCCCGCCAAUUCCUUUAAGUUCAUACUUGCGUACGUACUUCCCAGGCGGCAGACUUAACGGCUUCCCUGCGGCACUGCAUUGGCCACAAGCCAAUGCAUCACCGAGUCUGCAUCGUUUACAGCUGGGACUACCCGGGUAUCUAAUCCGGUUUGCUCCCCCAGCUUUCAUCCCUCACCGUCGAACGUGUUCUGGUACACCGCCUUCGCCACAGGUGGUCUUCAAUAGAUCAAAGGAUUUUACCCCUUCCUAUCGAGUACCGUGUACCUCUCCCACUCCCUAGCUGCACAGUAUUUUCGGCGGCCUAUACGUUAAGCGCAUAGAUUUAACCGAAAACUUAUGCAACCGGCUACGGAUGCUUUAGGCCCAAUAAACCUCCUGACCACUCGAGGUGCUGGUUUUACCGCGGCGGCUGACACCAGAACUUGCCCACCCCUUAUUCACCAGUGAUUCUACAACUGACAAAAGACUCCUUUAGCAGGAGACACUCGGAUUNACCUUGUCGUGCUUUCGCACAUUGCAAAGGUUUCUCGCCUGCUGCGCCCCAUAGGGCCUGGGUCCGUGUCUCAGUACCCAUCUCCGGGCCCCUCCUCUCAGAGCCCG
rnacentral:rRNA from 1 species